GUGAUGGGUGAAACUGCUGCUACCAGACCUAUGCACCACCUAAGUCCCAGUGAAGCCCCUGAGAGGAACGUCUGCAUCAAGGGUUGGAACCAUUUCAACUAUAUACUUUUGCACCCUCCAGUAUUUUUGUUUCAGCAAGUUGUCUAUUGAGCUACCCAGUAACUUUUUAUGCUGUAACUCUGAGCUGCCCAUCAUUAUGAAAGAGAGCCCUCAUGUCAUACCAUUAGUGCUCAUUACACAUUUUUUUUCUUAACUACCUUUGUUUUUUCAUUUACAUUUGCAUGGUGGAAGGUUGAGAGUUUUCUCUGGACAUCAUUGCUGAUGGGAUAUUUGCAAGCAAAGAAGCAGUAAUGAUUAUAAUGUAUGUGGGAAGAAAUCAGCUGGUGUCAAGCCGGGAAAUUCAUCAGCAAAUCCCUUGAAUGAAGUGUUGGGGUUAUGAGAUGGAGUAGCACUAACUACCCCAUAACACUUUGCAAAGCUGAAGUCAUCUUUGGAUUAAAAAAUAAGAAGCUUAUCAAAGGCAAGAUACAUUAAUAUAUGCUGGGGAGAUACCUUCACAGACCAGUACCUGGAAAGUUAAUAUACAAAACAAAGAAGAAAAGGUACAGAACAAGUUAAGUAGAGGAAGAACAGUUUAUCGGCUGGUGUAUCAGGCAGCUUGCUCUGUAGGAAGAACUGAUCUGUGGGAAACUCUGCUGUACUAUCAACAGCAUUUUCUGGCCCCCAAGAUUUUGUUUCCCUUUUGUAGCAGAGGCGUGACACCAUGUGAGUCAGACGUCAGAGAAGCUGUAACAGAACAGUCAAGGGCCACCAACACUGAACAAUUCUUCCCUACUGCAGCAAUGGGUUUCCUACUAUUGAUUUGAAUGUUUAUCUACAGAGAGGUCGAGAGGGCUGGAGGCUGGAAUUUCCCCAGCAGACGUUCACAGGCAACAAAAGAGAGAGACUGUUCUAAAAUUGAGCACUUAUCUAAGCAAGACAGGCCAUUCUACCACAAGAAGCAAGAGGGCUAAGUGAGGGAGGCCGGUGGGGAUGCCUAACCUAAGUGUUUAUGCAUAUAAAAUCCCUUUACUAAGCCUGA